GUAAUCGAUCAACCACACCAUUGCCGAGUGGUUCCGCUGCUACAGAUCCCCGAGACUCUCCUCUUAGGGGGUGUGACCAUGACUCUGUGCCUGGUCUGAGGAUGCCCUCCGUCGUCAUUCCUUAUAACCAGUUACCUCCCUUGAGACUUGGUCGGUACGGCGCACGUCCUUCUGCCGGGAUGCCCAACAUUUGACGAAAACAUGCCCUUAUUGGCGGCCAUACAUAUGGCCAGACUUACAUGGCAUUCUUAUUCCUAGCCGAUUGAGGCACGGUCGUCGGCGCCAUUAUGCCUCCUAGGCUCGCAAUAGGCCUUAAUAACCCAAAUUUCCCACGCAUCCGCCCGUCGAUUCAGUCACCACUUUAUGCCACCGAGUUGGUAGCGUCACGGCAACUAUGACCAAAAGAACUUGGAUGAACUCCAUCCGCCUUACACCGUUCAUCGCCACUUUACGUAUCUAUACGGUGUCUUGUGGCUAACGCUUCCGUCGAAUGGUUCCAUGCUAACUGCGACUCCGUGCUUUCGCACCCCUAGCUUGUCCUAAUCUAUGGGACCAUCAGGUGCGGGAUUUGCUACUUGUGAGCUACAGCCGCUAUCUGUCAGCCGCAGGUUCGCUUUCGCAAUUCACAGGUG
rnacentral:rRNA from 1 species